GCUGAACGCUCGCGUCCUGCCUACUGCAUGCAAAUCGAGCGAACAGACGAGGAUCUUGCUCCUUCGACGUUAGCGGCGGACGGGUGAGUAACACGUAGGUAACCUACCUAUAAGACUGGGAUAACUUCGGGAAACCGGAGCUAAUACCGGAUAAUAUUUCGAACCGCAUGGUUCGAUAGUGAAAGAUGGCUUUGCUAUCACUUAUAGAUGGACCUGCGCCGUAUUAGCUAGUUGGUAAGGUAACGGCUUACCAAGGCAACGAUACGUAGCCGACCUGAGAGGGUGAUCGGCCACACUGGAACUGAGACACGGUCCAGACUCCUACGGGAGGCAGCAGUAGGGAAUCUUCCGCAAUGGGCGAAAGCCUGACGGAGCAAAGCCGCGUGAGUGAUGAAGGUCUUCGGAUCGUAAAACUCUGUUAUGAGGGAAGAACAAACGUGUAAGUAACUGUGCACGGAUUGAGGGUACCUAAUCAGAAAGCCACGAAUAACCACGUG
rnacentral:rRNA from 1 species